UACGUAGGUCGCAAGCGUUGUCCGGAUUUACUGGGCGUAAAGAGCGCGCAGGCGGCUGGUCAAGUCCGAUGUGAAAUCUCCCGGCUCAACUGGGAAACUGCAUCGGAAACUGAUCGACUUGAAGAUGGGAGAGGGUAGUGGAAUUCCCGGUGUAGUGGUGAAAUGCGUAGAUAUCUGGAGGAAUACCGGUGGCGAAGGCGGCAUCCUGGACCAUUACUGACGCUGAGGCGCGAAAGCUAGGGGAGCAAACGGG
rnacentral:rRNA from 1 species